rnacentral:rRNA from 1 species
GAUGAACACUGGCGGCGUGCUUAACACAUGCAAGUCGAACGAGAAAUGGAGACGGAAACCUUCGGGCGGAAGGCUUCAUUUCGAGUGGCGGACGGGUGAGUAACGCGUGGGUAACCUGCCUCAUACAGGGGGAUAACAGUUGGAAACGACUGUUAAUACCGCAUAAGACCACAGCACCGCAUGGUGCGGGGGUAAAAACUCCGGUGGUAUGAGAUGGACCCGCGUUCGAUUAGCCAGUUGGCGGGGUAACGGCCCACCAAAGCGACGAUCGAUAGCCGAUCUGAGAGGAUGACCGGCCACAUUGGGACUGAGACACGGCCCAAACUCCUACGGGAGGCAGCAGUGGGGAAUAUUGCACAAUGGGGGAAACCCUGAUGCAGCGACGCCGCGUGAGUGAAGAAGUACUUCGGUAUGUAAAGCUCUAUCAGCAGGGAAGAAAAUGACGGUACCUGAGUAAGAAGCCCCGGCUAACUACGUG